GACGAACGCUGGCGGCGUGCUUAACACAUGCCAGUCGAACGGAAAGGCCCUGCUUGCAGGGUACUCGAGUGGCGAACGGGUGAGUAACACGUGGGUGAUCUGCCCUGCACUUCGGGAUAAGCCUGGGAAACUGGGUCUAAUACCGGAUAGGAGCCAUUUUUAGUGUGAUGGUUGGAAAGUUUUUUCGGUGUAGGAUGAGCUCGCGGCCUAUCAGCUUGUUGGUGGGGUAAUGGCCUACCAAGGCGGCGACGGGUAGCCGGCCUGAGAGGGUGGACGGCCACAUUGGGACUGAGAUACGGCCCAGACUCCUACGGGAGGCAGCAGUGGGGAAUAUUGCACAAUGGGCGCAAGCCGGAUGCAGCGACGCCGCGUGGGGGAUGACGGCCUUCGGGUUGUAAACUCCGUUCGCUAGGGACGAAGCUUUUUGUGACGGUACCUAGAUAAGAAGCACCGGCUAACUACGUG
rnacentral:rRNA from 1 species